rnacentral:rRNA from 1 species
UACGUAGGGGGCUAGCGUUAUCCGGAAUUACUGGGCGUAAAGGGUGUGUAGGUGGCGCCGUAAGUCGGGUGUGAAAUCUCGGGGCUUAACUCCGAAACUGCAUUCGAUACUGCGGUGCUUGAGGACUGGAGAGGAGACUGGAAUUCAUGGUGUAGCAGUGAAAUGCGUAGAGAUCAUGAGGAAGACCAGUGGCGAAGGCGGGUCUCUGGACAGUUCCUGACACUGAGACACGAAGGCCAGGGGAGCAAACGGG